AUUGAACGCUGGCGGCAGGCCUAACACAUGCAAGUCGAGCGAGAGGCGGACGGGGGAGUAAGGUAUGGAAAACUGCCUGAUGGAGGGGGAAAACUACAGGAAACGGUAGAUAAUACCGCCAAACAUCAGAUGUGCCCAGAUGGGAUUAGCUAGUAGGUGGGGGAAUUGUUCACCUAGGCGACGAUCCCUAGCUGGUCCGCGAGGAUGACCAGCCACACUGGAACUUAGACACGGUCCAGACUCCUACGGGAGGCAGCAGUGGGGAAUAUUCGACAAUGGGCGCAAGCAGGAUGGCGCCAUGCCGCGUGUGUGAAGAAGGCUGUCGGGUCGUAAAGCGCUUUCAGUGAGGAGGCGUUACGCGCAGAAGAAGCAUCGGCUAACUCCGUGCCAGCAGCCGCGGUAAUAC
rnacentral:rRNA from 1 species